rnacentral:rRNA from 1 species
GAUGAACGCUGGCGGCGUGCCUAAUACAUGCAAGUCGAGCGAACAGACGAGGAGCUUGCUCCUCUGACGUUAGCGGCGGACGGGUGAGUAACACGUGGAUAACCUACCUAUAAGACUGGGAUAACUUCGGGAAACCGGAGCUAAUACCGGAUAAUAUAUUGAACCGCAUGGUUCAAUAGUGAAAGACGGUUUUGCUGUCACUUAUAGAUGGAUCCGCGCCGCAUUAGCUAGUUGGUAAGGUAACGGCUUACCAAGGCAACGAUGCGUAGCCGACCUGAGAGGGGGGCGGCCCAAAGGGGAGUUGAGCCACGCCCCAGCCUCCAAGGGGAGGCACAAGGAGGAAAUCUCCCGAAAGGGGCGAAACCCGAACGGAGCAACCCGGGGGGAGGGAGGAGGGUUUCGGAAUAUAAAAACUGUUUUAUUGGGAAAAACAAAAUGUUAAAGUAAAUAGGCACUUCUGGAGGGUACCUAAUAAGAAAGCCACGGCAAACUACGGG